rnacentral:rRNA from 1 species
UACGUAGGGGGCUAGCGUUGUCCGGAAUCAUUGGGCGUAAAGAGCGUGUAGGCGGUCCGGUAAGUCCGCUGUGAAAGUCGGGGGCUCAACCCUCGAAUGCCGGUGGAUACUGUCGGGCUAGAGUGCGGAAGAGGCGAGUGGAAUUCCUGGUGUAGCGGUGAAAUGCGCAGAUAUCAGGAGGAACACCUAUGCGAAGGCAGCUCGCUGGGACGUAACUGACGCUGGAGACGCGAAAGCGUGGGGAGCGAACAGG